CAGGUUUACCUGUGUGACUGCGUACCUUUUGUAUAAUGGGUCAGCGACUUAUAUUCUGUAGCAAGGUUAACCGAAUAGGGGAGCCGGAGGGAAACCGAGUCUUAAUUGGGCGUUAAGUUGCAGGGUAUAGACCCGAAACCCGGUGAUCUAGCCAUGGGCAGGUUGAAGGUUGGGUAACACUAACUGGAGGACCGAACCGACUAAUGUUGAAAAAUUAGCGGAUGACCUGUGGCUGGGGGUGAAAGGCCAAUCAAACCGGGAGAUAGCUGGUUCUCCCCGAAAGCUAUUUAGGUAGCGCCUCGUGAAUUCAUCUCCGGGGGUAGAGCACUGUUUCGGCUAGGGGGCCAUCCCGGCUUACCAACCCGAUGCAAACUGCGAAUACCGGAGAAUGUUAUCACGGGAGACACACGGCGGGUGCUAACGUCCGUCGUGAAGAGGGAAACAACCCAGACCGCCAGCUAAGGUCCCAAAGUCAUGGUUAAGUGGGAAACGAUGUGGGAAGGCCCAGACAGCCAGGAUGUUGGCUUAGAAGCAGCCAUCAUUUAAAGAAAGCGUAAUAGCUCACUGGUCGAGUCGGCCUGCGCGGAAGAUGUAACGGGGCUAAACCAUGCACCGAAGCUGCGGCAGCGAAC
rnacentral:rRNA from 1 species